rnacentral:rRNA from 1 species
UACAGAGGUCCCAAGCGUUGUUCGGAUUCACUGGGCGUAAAGGGUGCGUAGGCGGUCGGGUAAGUCUGGCGUGAAAUCUCCAAGCCUAACUUGGAAACUGCGUUGGAUACUAUCCGGCUCGAGGAAUGGAGGGGAGACUGGAAUACUUGGUGUAGCAGUGAAAUGCGUAGAUAUCAAGUGGAACACCAGUGGCGAAGGCGAGUCUCCGGACAUUUCCUGACGCUGAGGCACGAAAGCCAGGGGAGCAAACGGG